rnacentral:tRNA from 2 species
GGUGAGGUGUCCGAGUGGCUGAAGGAGCACGCCUGGAAAGUGUGUAUACGGCAACGUAUCGGGGGUUCGAACUCCCCCCCUCACCGCCA